UGCCUUUAUGUGUUGCUCUGUCAUUGUUGCCAUAAUGAUCAGGGUGUCAAACAAGGCAUACAGUGACACAUGUGGCUGCCUGUUGAAGGAGUUUCACCUGACUCUUUUAAGCGGCCGGCUGCAUGAACAAAC
rnacentral:snoRNA from 13 species